rnacentral:rRNA from 1 species
GAUGAACGCUGGCGGUAUGCUUAACACAUGCAAGUCGUACGAAAGAUUUUAACUUUCGUGGCGUACGGGUGAGUAAUACGUGAGAAUCUGCCCUUAGGAGGGGAAUAACUGUUGGAAACGACCGCUAAAUCCCCAUAUGCCGAGAGGUGAAAUAGUUUCGACUGCCUAAGGAUGAGCGCGCGCCUGAUUAGCUUGUUGGUGAGGUAAAGGCGUACCAAGGCCACGAUCAGUAGCUGGUUUGAGAGAAUGAGCAGCCACACUUGGACUGGGCCACGGCCCAGGCGCCUCCGGGAGGGAGCAGUGAGGAAUUUUCCGCAAUGGGCGAAAGCCUGACGGAGCAAUACCGCGUGAGGUAUGAAGGAUUUUGGUCUGUAAACCUCUUUUCUCAAGAAAGAAGUUCUGACGGUACUUGAGGAAUAAGCAUCGGCUAACUCCGUGCCAGCAGCCGCCGUAAUAC